GGCCCUCUCAGUCUCUAACCAAAGACUCCCAUUUGCUUGGAAGGGGGAUCCUUGGCCGGGGGUGGGGCGGCGGGUGGCGAAGGGCAAGUGAGUGUCUUCAAGCUGGGCUGGUGCUCUUUCCAUUUCUGAGGAAGAUUCUGGAUUCUAAUAUUACUCUUACGAAACCACUCAGCAGAUGUCUGCACUAACAAACUCAGGGAUCUGAGAAAAUCAACACUUAUCCAGAAUGGACUGCCACACCUUGUCCUCCCAUCUCAGAACUUCUCCCACUAUCUACUUCUGUUGGGUUUCUAGAGAGCACCUUAUUAUCAUUGUCCUAUUUUACUGUCUUUGUAUCCCCAAAAUAUAGCUUUCUGUACAUCAGUAUAUCCAUUGCCGAAAACCACUUGUAAAUUCUCUAACUUUACUGGAAUUGUGAAAAGUAAUGAGGAAGGUUCACCUGGACAUCUGAUGACAUGUGACUCUGCCCCCACUAACUCUGUCACAAUUCAAAAAUGUAUGCGGACACUGGGACUCAGGCUGUCAAGUGCAACCCAAACAUGGUACGGCACUGAAUUGUUUUGUAUGUGUCUGUUUCUCCUCUCCUCUCUGGCUCCCCAUCUUCACUUUGGAAAAGUGGAAUAUCUGUCACCACACAUGGCGGUGUCCUUGAUGCUAUCUUGGGGCAAAGAAGCCAGGCUCCGGAAGAGAAGCGGUCUUAAAAAGAGCUGUAGAGGCACAACUACCUGUGAGGCUCAUCACUGGCUCCGAC
rnacentral:lncRNA from 1 species